AUUCAUCAUGGAGAGUUUGAUCCUGGCUCAGGAUGAACGCUGGCGGCGUGCCUAACACAUGCAAGUCGAACGGGAAUCUUCGGAUUCUAGUGGCGGACGGGUGAGUAACGCGUAAGAAUCUAACUUCAGGACGGGGACAACAGUUGGAAACGACUGCUAAUACCCGAUAUGCCGCAAGGUGAAACCUAAUUGGCCUGAAGAAGAGCUUGCGUCUGAUUAGCUAGUUGGUGGGGUAAAGGCCUACCAAGGCGACGAUCAGUAGCUGGUCUGAGAGGAUGAUCAGCCACACUGGGACUGAGACACGGCCCAGACUCCUACGGGAGGCAGCAGUGGGGAAUAUUCCGCAAUGGGCGAAAGCCUGACGCAGCAACGCCGCGUGAGGGAGGAAGGUCUUUGGAUUGUAAACCUCUUUUCUCAAGGAAGAAGUUCUGACGGUACUUGAGGAAUCAGCCUCGGCUAACUCCGUGCCAGCAGCCGCGGUAAUACGGGGGAGGCAAGCGUUAUCCGGAAUUAUUGGGCGUAAAGCGUCCGCAGGUGGUCAGCCAAGUCUGCCGUCAAAUCAGGUUGCUUAACGACCUAAAGGCGGUGGAAACUGGCAGACUAGAGAGCAGUAGGGGUAGCAGGAAUUCCCAGUGUAGCGGUGAAAUGCGUAGAGAUUGGGAAGAACAUCGGUGGCGAAAGCGUGCUACUGGGCUGUAUCUGACACUCAGGGACGAAAGCUAGGGGAGCGAAAGGGAUUAGAUACCCCUGUAGUCCUAGCCGUAAACGAUGGAUACUAGGCGUGGCUUGUAUCGACCCGAGCCGUGCCGAAGCUAACGCGUUAAGUAUCCCGCCUGGGGAGUACGCACGCAAGUGUGAAACUCAAAGGAAUUGACGGGGGCCCGCACAAGCGGUGGAGCAUGUGGUUUAAUUCGAUGCAACGCGAAGAACCUUACCAAGACUUGACAUGUCGCGAACCCUGGUGAAAGCUGGGGGUGCCUUCGGGAGCGCGAACACAGGUGCUGCAUGGCUGUCGUCAGCUCGUGUCGUGAGAUGUUGGGUUAAGUCCCGCAACGAGCGCAACCCUCGUUCUUAGUUGCCAGCAUUAAGUUGGGCACUCUAAGGAGACUGCCGGUGACAAGCCGGAGGAAGGUGGGGAUGACGUCAAGUCCUCAUGGCCCUUACGUCCAGGGCUACACACGUGACUACAAUGGUCGGUGACAAUGGGCAGCGAUACUCGCGAGAGCCAGCGAAUCCCAGCAAACCCGGCCUCAGUUCAGAUUGCAGUCUGCAACUCGCCUGCAUGAAGGAGGAAUCGCUAGUAAUCGCCGGUCAGCAUACGGCGGUGAAUACGUUCCCGGGCCUUGUACACACCGCCCGUCACACCAUGGAAGCUGGUCACGCCCGAAGUCAUUACCUCAACCGCAAGGAGGGGGAUGCCUAAGGCAGGGCUAGUGACUGGGGUGAAGUCGUAACAAGGUAGCCGUACCGGAAGGUGUGGCUGGAUCACCUCCUUAA
rnacentral:rRNA from 1 species